ensembl:lncRNA
CCCCUGGCCCCAGAAGCACUUCAUUUGGGCUCCCAACAGCUUAACUCUUUAUUACCGAUCAACCAUGAGCUCCCAGAUACCUCAGAAUUAUCCCACUGAGACGGAGUUGUCUUCAGCCGCCUGGUCAACAGGGAUCUGCGGGCCUCCUACACCUAUCUCUCUCUGGGCUUGUAUUUCCACCAUGAAGGAUAUGGCUCUGGAGAACUUGGAACACUGUUUUAUGGAAAUUGGCUGAGGAGAAGCACGAGCGUGAACCUCUCUUGAAAAUGCAAAACCAGCGGCAGUAGCCACUUGCUGGAGUUGGGUAAAACCCAGGACUCUGUGGAAGCCGCCAUUCUGAUUGUCCGCGCAGACUCCCACCUCUGUGACUUCCUGGCGACCGGCUUCCUAGACAAGAAGGUGAAACUCAUCAAGAAAAUGGGCAGCUACCUGACCAACCUUCACAGGCUGGCUGGUUCCCAGGCGGGGCAGGGCGAGUAUCUCUUCCAAAGGCUCACCUCCAUCAUGACUAGUAGCCUCCGAAGCCCAGCAGCCUUUGAGGAGCCCCUCUGGUGACAGCGCUUCUGCCUGAAGCCCCUCUCUGCAGCCACUAAGUAGCUUUUUAAGCACUCUGGAGCUCUCUCCCAAGCCUUGGACCAUAUGGAAACUGUAAAGCUUUUUGCAGAAAAAACAGAAGGAAAGGAAAGAAAAAAAGCCUGCAUGAAGGUUAUUUAUCAGAUCAUACUUAAAGGGAAGUGAUUAGUUGUGUGGCCUCAGGCAAGUCCUUUAU